CUAUGCAGUGUUUCGUUUGGAAAUAACUCAAAGCCAGAAAGAAAACAAGGCAUUGCGGAGGAAACUACAGCUACUGGAAGUUAAGGUGGCACGGGAGCGCGCAGAGAGGACAACGCGAGAGCGCGUCCUUGUCUGUCAUCCCAGUAGUGUCAAGAUCCUUGAUCAAUACAGAGGAAAAGCAAAAGGUGAAGGACAUCUCACUGGAGGCCACAGGAGCUUUGUGAAGCCAGCCGGACACAAUACACGGAGAGAAGACCAACCAAUCACUGUUGAUGAGGGGAUAGGAACCUCAACCCAGCACGUUAUCGUGAUAGAGUCUGCAGAUGCAGAGGCUGCAUGUCCUGGGGUCAAGCAGGAGAGGUCUGAAGGAGAGGAGGACCCACGGCACAGCAGAGACAUCCAGGCUGGAGAGCCCCCUGUAGCCACGGAGGACCUCACCGCUGCCCAAGUGCAGUCCAGGACCCGACGUAGCAUCCUGGAGGGAUCGCGACCCAGUAUCCAUGUCAAUGGGGCCUUCCGAUUCACACAGGAACCAAAGGGCGAAGGCGCAGGGCGGGGGAGC